rnacentral:rRNA from 1 species
GUGGCGAACGGGUGAGUAACACGUGAGCAACCUGCCCUGGACUCUGGGAUAAGCGCUGGAAACGGCGUCUAAUACUGGAUAUGAGCUCUCAUCGCAUGGUGGGGGUUGGAAAGAUUUUUCGGUCUGGGAUGGGCUCGCGGCCUAUCAGCUUGUUGGUGAGGUAAUGGCUCACCAAGGCGUCGACGGGUAGCCGGCCUGAGAGGGUGACCGGCCACACUGGGACUGAGACACGGCCCAGACUCCUACGGGAGGCAGCAGUGGGGAAUAUUGCACAAUGGGCGGAAGCCUGAUGCAGCAACGCCGCGUGAGGGAUGACGGCCUUCGGGUUGUAAACCUCUUUUAGCAGGGAAGAAGCGAGAGUGACGGUACCUGCAGAAAAAGCGCCGGCUAACUACGUGCCAGCAGCCGCGGUAAUACGUAGGGCGCAAGCGUUAUCCGGAAUUAUUGGGCGUAAAGAGCUCGUAGGCGGUUUGUCGCGUCUGCUGUGAAAUCCCGAGGCUCAACCUCGGGCCUGCAGUGGGUACGGGCAGACUAGAGUGCGGUAGGGGAGAUUGGAAUUCCUGGUGUAGCGGUGGAAUGCGCAGAUAUCAGGAGGAACACCGAUGGCGAAGGCAGAUCUCUGGGCCGUAACUGACGCUGAGGAGCGAAAGGGUGGGGAGCAAACAGGCUUAGAUACCCUGGUAGUCCACCCCGUAAACGUUGGGAACUAGUUGUGGGG